rnacentral:rRNA from 1 species
CUUCGGACAUAGUGGCGCACGGGUGCGUAACACGUAUGCAACCUACCUUACAUUGGGGGAUAGCCUUUCGAAAGGGAGAUUAAUACCGCAUAAGACAGUAAUUUGGCAUCAAAUAGCUGUUAAAGAUUUAUCGAUGUAAGAUGGGCAUGCGACCAAUUAGUUAGUUGGCGAGGUAAUGGCUCACCAAGACUAUGAUUGGUAGGGGAACUGAGAGGUCAAUCCCCCACACUGGCACUGAGAUACGGGCCAGACUCCUACGGGAGGCAGCAGUAGGGAAUAUUGGGCAAUGGACGCAAGUCUGACCCAGCCAUGCCGCGUGCAGGAUGAAGGCGUUAUGCGUUGUAAACUGCUUUUAUACAGGAAGAAACGACUCUUGCGAGAGGCAUUGACGGUACUGUAUGAAUAAGCACCGGCUAACUCCGUGCCAGCAGCCGCGGUAAUACGGAGGGUGCAAGCGUUGUCCGGAUUUAUUGGGUUUAAAGGGUGCGCAGGUGGUUUAUUAAGUCAGUGGUGAAAGACGGUCGCUCAACGAUUGCAGUGCCAUUGAAACUGGUAGACUUGAGUAAAGUAGAGGUGGGCGGAAUUGAUAGUGUAGCGGUGAAAUGCAUAGAUAUUAUCAAGAACUCCAAUUGCGUAGGCAGCUCACUUGGCUUUUACUGACACUCAUGCACGAAAGUGUGGGUAUCAAACAGGAUUAGAUACCCUGGUAGUCCACACUGUAAACGAUGAUAACUAGGUGUCGGCCGAAUCUGGUCGGUGCCACAGCGAAAGCGUUAAGUUAUCCACCUGGGGAGUACGCCGGCAACGGUGAAACUCNANNAAUUGACGGGGGUCCGCACAAGCGGNGGAG